UACGUAGGGUGCAAGCGUUAAUCGGAAUUACUGGGCGUAAAGCGUACGCAGGCGGUUUUGUAAGUCUGUCGUGAAAUCCCCGGGCUUAACCUGGGAAUGGCGAUGGAGACUGCAAGGCUAGAGUUUGGCAGAGGGGGGUAGAAUUCCACGUGUAGCAGUGAAAUGCGUAGAGAUGUGGAGGAACACCGAUGGCGAAGGCAGCCCCCUGGGUCAAAACUGACGCUCAUGCACGAAAGCGUGGGGAGCAAACAGG
rnacentral:rRNA from 1 species